rnacentral:lncRNA from 1 species
CUGUUUAAGAAGAAAGGUGAGCACAAAUUUAAGAAUUAAAAGUAUUCGUUUUAGGAGAUAAGCGAGGAAUGAUUUGAGCUCAUGAGAUUCAUAGUUUUUCAUUUACCCUUGUCUUAUUCCAUAAUACCACGGUACAUAGGUUUAUUUUUGGCCAAGUUUUUCUUGUUUUUGAGCUUGCAGAGAUGGGCGUUGGAGAUGAAGACUAAGAACAAGACUGAUAUAUGGUUCAUGCCAACUUGAUGUUGAAGAUGAAGAUGAAUAAUAAAGUGAUUGAAGAUGAAAAGGAUGAAAAGGAGUGGUUGAAGAUGAAAACCAAAGUUUGAAGGAAUUGAAUCCUUCAUGAACGUAUUUGAUUUCACGUGAAUCAUAUUUUAUUUCAGCAGUAUGAACAAAUGUAAAGGAACCUGUAUUUGGUUCUCCUGUAUUGUAUUCAGUUCUCCGUGAGUGAAACCAUGAUAUAUCUGGUUCCGUUGAUGUGUAUCCGGUUUCAGCACUUCUUUAAUUUUUUUUAUCGCAUCAUGUAAAACAUAAAGGCAUUUCUUCCUUCUUCACUUCAAAAAAAC